rnacentral:rRNA from 1 species
AGAACGAACGCUGGCGGCAUGCCUAACACAUGCAAGUCGAACGCGUGUAGCGAUACACGAGUGGCGGACGGGUGAGUAACGCGUGGGAACCUGCCCUGGAGUGUGGGAUAACCGAGGGAAACUUCGGCUAAUACCGCAUACGACCUGAGGGUGAAAGAUUUAUCGCUCUAGGAGGGGCCCGCGUCGGAUUAGCUAGUUGGUGGGGUAAAGGCCUACCAAGGCAGUGAUCCGUAGCUGGUCUGAGAGGAUGAUCAGCCACACUGGGACUGAGACACGGCCCAGACUCCUACGGGAGGCAGCAGUGGGGAAUAUUGGACAAUGGGGGGCAACCCUGAUCCAGCAAUGCCGCGUGAGUGAUGAAGGCCUUAGGGUUGUAAAGCUCUUUCGCGCGCGACGAUGAUGACGGUAGCGCGAGAAGACGCCCCGGCUAACUUCGCGCCAGCACGCCGC